CUUUGCAAUAUAUUUUACAGUUGAUUUUUUAGUAAUAUUUUAAUAUAGGAAAUGACGUAAUCCAUCUGUUAACAAAGAGAAAGAACUCGUCCCUUUAUGUGUCCAUCACUCUCCAGAAUGGUACGACGCUGUAUGAAACGUACGAUCGAUUCUCUAUCUCCGAUGAAACAGGGAAAUAUCAAUUCUUUUUGGGAGGACCUGCCACAGGAACCUUAGGUGACAGGAUGCUAGACACGGGUGAUUCGUACAGAGAUGUGUCAGGGAUGUACUUCAGCACCCCGGACGUGGAUAACGACAGACAUGCCGGUCACUGUGCUGCUAACUGGUAUGGAGGAGGAGGAGGAGGAGGCUGGUGGUAUAACCACUGUCACUACGCCUUCCUCAAUGGCAUCUGGUCUUCAUCCAAAUGGAGUUGGGUUUGGUAUCCACCAGUUGAAAAGGGCACAGAAGUCAAAGAAACUAUGAUGAUGGUCAGGCGUCACUAGAUUUAAGACGUUUUUACCAAACGCUCGGGGAAGAAAAAUGCCAAGGGCACAUAUGCUACAUACCAUGAUAGACGUUUUUAUUAUACCGUAGAACUCUUCUGAUACAGGAAUAAUUUUUUUAAAUUAUCAAUGCUAUCAGGAAAUUCAUUUACUCUUUCUACCCUAAUUCAAAAUUAAUGAUUUAUAUAAAACGGAAAUGCCUGUUAAUGUGUACGCUUAUCAUAGUUUUAGCGGCUUUUAUAUUUUUCUGACACUAAAU